CUCUGCUGAUUUGCAUGUAACCAGAAAACACACUCCUAUCCAGAGGACUUUUUAAUAGGCUGGUCACACCCUGUGCAGGAGUCAGUUCCAGUCAGGACACAGCACAGACAUGAGGGCUCCUGCUCAUCUCCUGGGGCUGCUGCUGCUCUGGAUCCCAGGUUCCAGAUGUGAUAUCCAGUUGACCCAGUCUCCAUCUCAGACUGUAUCACUAAAAGACCCAGUCACCAUCAGGUGUCAAGCGAGUCAGAGCAUUGGCACUUCAUUAAACUGGUAUCAGCAAAAACCAGGAAAAUCUCCUAAGCUCCUGAUCUAUGCUGCGUCUAAUUUGUAUACUGGGGUCCCAUCGAGGUUCAGUGGCAGUGGGUCUGGGACAGAUUUUACCCUCACCAUCAGCACUUUGGAGCCAGAAGAUAUUGGAAUGUAUUACUGCCAACAGCACUAUGAUUACCCACCCACAGUGGAACAACUCAUAACAUAA